GAUGUGAACUAAAACUCGAUUAUUCAGCUCUGUAUAAAAAGUUUGCUGUUGUUGGAAAGCUUUGGACGGGGAUGUCAAAUCAUUAAUAUUUUUUAAUUUCAUUACUUAUGUGCUACGUCAGGUCAAAUUUUAUCGAUUUUACGUUCGCAAAAGGAAUAUUGCCCACACAGUUGCUGCAUUUGGGUGUUUCCCAUAACCGGCCUUUUCGGCAGCCGGAGAAAACCAUCCGUUGUGUUUGUGGCCGACUGGAUCUUGGAAAAUGAUUACAGCUGUGAUGAUUGGUGUUGCUUCUGGGGUUCUAAUCUGAUUCAAAGCUUUUCCAGAUAAUUGAACGAGAUCAUCGGAUGGUCCGUGAUUUUCGUAAACCAGCUUCCUUACUUCCUUGAAAUUGAUUGGUGCUUACAUUAAUUUGUGUUUGUUUGCAGGUGCAACAAAAAGCAGAAUUUGGAAUAAAAGCAUGUGAAGAAAUCUUGAGGCAUUUUUUACGUCGGCAGUUGAAAAUCCCCGACAAAAAGAACCACAGUGAUAGCAGGAACAAUAACCGGAUUGAGAAGAACAACAUGCAGUUACUGAUUUUGAGGUUCCAAACAGCAGUCGAAACCUGACGGUGGGCUCAAUUUUAGGAACGAAAACUAAAAAAAACCGACAGUGCUGAAGAAAACUCUGCUGCUACGAAUGAACUCAAAACAGGAACUGCAUCAAAAAAUGAUGCUCCCAGACGAUAGUAAAAAUCCGGUCGCUUACUUGCGAAACCAUGCCAAGCUCCAUGUCAUUGCUUUUUAACUUAAAAGUAGUAAAAGGCAUGCGGAUAGACAAUAUCGAAUUCAAAUACUGUGUCCAAAUAUAACAACAUUCCUUGGCAUUAACAUCGACGAAUUGCACACCGUUGCAUUUCAGAUUCAACAACGGUGUAGUUCAACUUCGGACACGACGGUGGGAGACAACGACAUGCUAGAGGCUAAAAUCUUUUAAGUAGGAAACUACCAUCAAGAAUAAUUCAGAUUUGUAAGAUAAAUUAUCUAUUCGUAAUUGUUGUUACAAUUUACAGGAGCACAUUAGUAGGUCCGAUUUCACAGCUGUGCUGAGUGGGCAGUCAGAAACCGGUGCUGAGCAGAGUAAAUGUAUCUGGGGAACGGCACGCUGGUUCUCAAUUCAAUCGGUGUUCUGCUUCCGGUGUUGAAUGCCUCACAAGCAUCUGUUCAUC